ACCCUCCUGCCUCGUCUGCCCCCUCCGGGGUCCCCGGGUAACCGAGAAGAGAUGGAGACAGGACUUGACUUCCCCAGUAAGGUUGUGUGGGGCGCGGCGGUAAACCCCAAAAGACACCAACAGAAGUCCUGUCUCAAGUCUGGGGCUCUGUCCUCCGGACCUGUUUCCCCCUCGACCCGCUGUGCCCUCCGGUCCCUCUUUCGGUGCCCGCCUCCUUGUCAUGCCGUGCUCCGCGGUGUCCCCAUGACCUGUCUUUCAUGUCGCUCUUGAGUUGCACUCGGGUUGACCAUGUGUACUGUUAACAGCCCGGCAUAUGCGCUCUGUUAUCGGCAGGGGCAGGCCCCUAACUUAGGGGUGCCCCACUAGCCCCAUAUUCCAUGACGUGUCUAUUUUGUGCACUGCCAGCUCCUGUUACACUUUCAUCUCUUUCUGUGUCGUUUUUAAUAUUUCCUUCUUAAACCAUAUGGCUUUUUUUUAUCUUUAGCCAUUCCUGUCAUUCACCCUGGAAUAUCAUUUUAAUACUGUGCUUGGGAAACAACUCACAAUCCCUUUUAAAACUAUCCAUGCUGUUCCAAGUGAUUAUUACUGGUAAGGUUCAAAGGGUGUGCUGUGUAUAAAUUUAUGGCACAACAAGCUGUAUUAUAACUGGUUUAUGGGCUUCUUUUUUUUAAAUGGCAUCUGUACUCCAUGGUUUUUAACGUGGCCUUUGAAGGCAAAAGAGUCAGACCCAGCCUAGCUGCUGCUCACAGAUAGUGAGAUCCUAGACAAGCAGUUAACUUUACCUAACUUGCUUUUCUUAUCUACGAAAUGAGGACAAUAAUUGAUGUAAAGUCCUGUUGGAAUGCUAGGGUUAAACUCAUCAAUGAUAGGUCAUUUGAGUGGUUGGAAGUUUUUAGGAAGGAUGUAGAAUUUUAGUUUAGAAAAUCAAAGUUGGGAAAGAACUAAGUGAAAGGGAAAAGGAAAGAGGAAUGGUACAAGAACAGAGAUCUCAACCAUAAAAAGUUUGAGAUAAGGUUGGGCAGUUAAGGCAGGAUUUAAAUGCCAGAAGGAAGUUUGGAGUUGUCAUCAGUGGAGAUUCUGAUACAUAAUAGCCUGAAGGGUGUCAACACAGUCUGCAUAAUGGGGAGGUUACUAAUUCAUAUUUUAAAUAGACUUGUCAUUUACCUAUUACAUAUCAAAGCAAGAUGAUCAACUUUUCUUCCAGAUAAAGGUUGCCUUUCCCUUUCUUGAAGAAUUGUAAGAUUUUAGAGGUGAAGGGAUCUUCAGUUGUGUGAUUUGCUAAGCGUCACCCAGGCAUAACCCAAAUUUAUGAGCAUCCCAUCUAGGUAGGAAUCUAUGUAGCACAUCAGCUUUGAACUUCCUGCUCUUUGAACCUUGCUCUGACCCAGUUUUUGUUGGAAUUGGUAUCGUAUCGGCAAUGACAAGUGAUUACAUUCAUUAGUCCAGAAGCCCACUGUGGAUUUCUCACUGUAAACUGAGAACAUAACACAAGGGUCAAGCUGUUAAAUGGAACUAGGAUUGGAUUUAAGACUUCGCACUUGUCCUGUGGGUGCCUAUAUAAUCAGAUACUGCUUGUAUACUCCUGGGUACUGUAAUGGGACAUGCUGCUCACUAGGAAAGUGUUUUCUCUGUACCUUACCGUUCUUCUAUUACUACCCAACAUCAAAGUAAUAAAUGCUCAAUGUGCUCGUGCACAUAUAUGUAUGUGUACAUAUAUAUUUAAAACCUUACAGGAAAUGGACUGGGGGUUUGGCUCAGUGACAUAAGCCUGGCAAGUGUGAGGUUGUGAGUUUGAUCCCCGGUAUCAAAAAAAAAAAAACCACCAGGAAACAUUUGCCCUACUUCUUAGUAUUACUUAUGAUCCAUUACAUCUAUUUCAUGAUUUCAUUGUUUUGUUUUUUGGUUUGUUUUAUUUUUUUGAGGCUUUUUUUGUUUUUGUUUUUUGAGGCUGCUUGGAACUCACGGUGAUCCUCCUGCCUCAGCCUCCCAAGUGCUGGGAUUACAGAGGCCAGGCAUGGUGGCACAUACUUAUAAUCCCAGCACUCUGGAGGAUGAGACAAGUGGACUGCUGCAAGUUCCAGACCAGCCCGUGCUACUAAGUGAGUUCAAAACCAGCCUGAACUGCAUAGUGAAACCCUGUCUAAAUAAAUAAAUUCAAAUGUACUUACUCCAAAGGAAGCCAAAUUCUUGGCCCUGCAAGGGCAAGGGCAAUGUGAGUAGUCUUGAGAAAUAAGACCCCCACACUGGAAGCCAGUAAGCUAGAGGGGAGGGGCCGGUUGUGAGAUAAAGAGACACUGACCCCAGUGAAAGUGUGAUGAGGCUUAAGGAAGUGACAGUUGGUAAAUACUGGACUUUGGAAGUUGCUCAGGUUUCUGUAGACUGAGAUGAAACAGAAGAAGCAGGAGCAGAGACAGAGGCACAGGGAAUGCUCGUCCUCCGGGACCGCCAAGGCUAAGGUGUGAGACUCAAGUAGGGAAGUGGUAAGAGAAAGCUGAACUAUAGGUUGUGCGGCCUGGAAAGCCAAGAUUUCAGCAGAUGAGGAGGAGCAUGGGAGUGGUUUGGUUUGGUUUGGUUUGGUUUGGUUUUUGCAGUUCUAGGAAUGGAGCCCAGCAUGGUUUGAAAUCAGCAUAGCCAAGGAAUGGAGCCCAGUGAGAGGAAACAGCAACCUGAGUGGGAAACUAGGAUGACUGACUGAAAGGAAGGAGAGUCACUCAAGGGCUUUUAGGAAUGCAGAACGAUUUGAAAGGUAAAUUCUGUGAGCAUUUCAUCUACACUGCCGCUCAAAAGAAACCACAGAUUCAGCCUUGUUGCCUCCCUGCCAGUCCCCGACAUUGUGGUCACAGAGUCCUAUCAAACAUAUGCUUCUCCCUUUCCCCAUCACUGCACUGGGGUGACCCACGCAAGCAUCCUCCUUCCUGCUCUCUAAUUCUCUUCUUGCCCCAAAGCUGCAGAUUCUGUGCCUUCUGCCCCCCCAAGCUCUGCCUCUGUCAGGUCCUCAGAACCUGCACCACUACCAGCUACCAGCUCCACUAUACAAGGCUCCACUGGGUCUUCCUCCCUUAGGGGCUCAGCCAUAAGGCUUUUCCCUUUGUCUGGGUGUGAAGUCUCUUCCCAGAGGUGCUUUCUAGGUUCUCUCUGUCCUGAACAGAGAAUAGAUCAAGACAAAUGCAAACGGUGCCAAGGUUUUACAUUAUUAAAGGUAGGAAAAGAAACCUACUCCGCAAAGGAAGAGCAGACUACCAGAAGGAGCUUACACAGGGACUAUGCACUGGCUUGGCAGCAGGCUAUUUUGUAUCCACCCCACCCACCCCACGCACACAGAUUCCUCAAGCUGAGAUCACCUGCAAGCCGACCUAUCAGAAACCUGCUCCAGCUCUCUAGCACUCUCUAAUUGGCUCCAGUUGCAGUGUUUUAGUGUUCUGUUCGGCACGUAGGUCCUGCAACUUGGUAAUCAACAGGCCAUACCUAGUUGCUUGGCUGGUUUGCCUACUCUAAUGGCCUGCCUCAUGAUCCUUCCGUUGAACCUUCUUUGCAGACUCUUACUGCAAUUGAGUCCCCUUCUCAUACUGACUGAAAUUUCUAAGACUAUAUUACAACUUAAAAUUAUGUAUCUGUAGGUGAGGACAGACAUCACAUCAGUUUUGUUCACCACAGUACCCAGUUGAAACAGUAACAGAAAAGCCCAAAAACUUGUUGAAUAAGUAAAUAUGUAGAUGAGUGACUUGGAAUAAAUAGUUUUUAGAAAAAUAAAAGAUUCCCUCCUGUCUGAGUAACCAUGCACAGAGGUUAAGAGAAAGGUCAGGUAUUAGUGAGUGCUAGGUAAUGCUCUGGUUUGAGAUUUAGUUUCAGUUACAAGAGUAUUUCCAAGUAUGUGCAGAGGUGAGAAGUCUAAUUUUGAACCCAGCAAAGAAGUUAGGCCAAAAAUCCACUUUCAGGGAGCUGGGCAUGGUGGUACAUACCUGUAACCCCAGUACCCAGCAGGCCAAUGCAGAAGAAUUGCUGCAAGUUUGAAUUCAGCCUGAGCUACAUGGUGAGGUGAAAGGCCAGCCUGAACUACAUAGCGAGACUUCAUUUAAAAAAAAACACAUAGUUUUAGGAGUUAGUAUUGGUAUCAUAACUGAAUCAGGGAGGGAACUAAAUGCCAUGGAAACACUUACAUGAAAAAAAAUCAUUUGUAUAUGCUGCCAAAGCAAGCACUAGAAUCUAAUUCGUUUGAUUAUGUUAAUAUUGCUACCUUUUCUUUCAUUUUUGUUUGUUGUUUGAGACAGAGUCUCAAUAUGUAACCCAGGCUGGCCUUGAACUCACAACAGCCCUCCUGCCUCAGCCUUCCCAGUGCUGGGAUUAGAGACAUGCACUACCAUGCCAGGCACUGCUACCCCUUAUUGAUUAUAAUAAUAGCUGGCAUUUUUGUUUAUUAAGGAUGUUCUAAGUAAAUGGCAAUCCACAGGCAAUUCCCUGCCCAAACCUGCCAGUUACUAAUAAGAUAAUUACAGUGCUUAUUGUCUCCCUAAUACAGAAAGAAAUUAGGGAUUAUAAAGGUUAAGUACCUUGCCUGAAGUCACACUUAGUUCUCGCAGGCUCUGGAACCCUAUAUGUAGAAUGAAUGUGGACAGUGGCAGAUAUAAACACUCUUGAUAACCCUUCCCCUCAUCGCUCUUCUGGUUAAACCAAGAUGUAAUCACCCAGGCAGUGACUCUCCCUCCAUAGCCAGAAGCUGCCAAGUGGAGCAGAUGGCCACAGCACUGAGCACAAGCACUCCUGGUCUUGGCCAAGCCCACAGUUCAGAAUUAGCAUCACUGAUGUCAGCCACCUUUGAAAUCCUGAGAGCCUGCAGUUUAGCUCCCAUUACCCCAAUGUCACCACUGGCUUCUCAGAAACAAUCCAUUAUUCAGUUCAGGAAACUUCCUUUCAGAUAGCACUUAAAUCACAACACAACGAAACCAAAGCUAAGCAACAUGGAAAUUAAAUACCAUUAAGUAAACAGAUGGAACUUCUGACCAUGAUAUAAAGCAGGACCCAAAAACUUCAGCUGUAGGGAGAGUGUUCUAGAUGGCUUUUGAGAGCUCCUCCAGUUCUGAAGGUCUCAGUAUUUGAAUUCAUAGCCACAUAUUUCAUUGUCAUCUGAUGCUUCUUGUUUGGGAAUUGUUUUAGAUGUAUCUUUGUGACUACUGUUGCUAUAUUUCAAGAUCUUACAUGGUGGGGUACACUUCAUGUUUUGGAUUCCAGCAUAACUUUAUUGUCAAACAGAACCACUGUUUUACAGAAGCACGUGUAAAUUAGGGCCCAGGAGAUUAUUUGAAUGGCCACUGGCAUGAAAACACUCCUCUAGGGCCCAGCAGCCUUCUGGCAGUGGGAUUUCUAUUUACAGCAGCAAAAACUGGCUUUGCAGCUGGGCCUUAAAGGGAUAGGAAGGUUCUAGUCGGGAAAAUGGAGCUUUCCAGCUGCAAAGAAUAGUGAUCACAUACGUGGAGGUGAGGAAGCAUGGAGAAAUCUGAGGAACAGCAGAUAAUCCACUUUGGCUAGGGUAGUAGAACAAUCCUGGAAGAGUCGUAGAAAAGUCUGCUAGUGGGGUGAGGUGGCCAAGAGGCAGGGCAAGUGUGGGCUUGCUGCACCCAAGGCUCAAAGGCCAGCUAUACUAGAGCCACAGAGGCUGCCAGUCAAGCAGUUUACCUGGUAAAUAAUUACGUUGCAUUUCUGACAAGCAACAGUAUUUUAAAUCAGAAUGCAAAUUUUAUUUGAAUUUUAAAAAUCAUGCACUUAUCAAAGAAAUUCCUUAGAGGGCUGGGCAGGGCCUCUGAAAAAGUUUGAGACCUUUGCUCGUGGAUUGCUCCCGGACUAAUUUGAGGUAGGGUGUGGAAACACUCCAAGUUCAUAAACUGAGUACGGGCCCAGUAAUCUACCUUUUAACACACUGUCUGGUUACACAUGCUGCCCUAGAGUUAGAGUAUGGCAAAUUGGAUGUGUUUCUUCAUGCAUCUGUUUUAUAAUAGUUGAUGUCCUGAUUGGAUUUUUUAAUAGGUUGUCUCUUUGUUUGUUUUGGUGAUGGGAAAUGAACCCAGGGCUUUCACAUUGAGCUACCUUCCUACCUGUUUUAUUUUAAAACAGAAUCUUGCUAAAUGGGCUGGGCUAGGCUUCAAUUUGAAGUCUUUCUGCCUCAUCACCCCACAGUGCUGAAAUUACAGGCAUAUACCACCACACCUAGCUCCAGUUAGAUUUUAAAACUUUUUGAAAUGUUUGCUGUGCUGUGAUCUUUGAAAUAAAACUCUCAGAUUCUUUAUAGCGUAGUAGGCCCUAUUAGUUGACAUCUUCAUGUUAAAAUCUUACUGUUAUUCAAUCCUACUGUUGACUCAUGAUCACCACUGUCAUAACUUCCAUCAUUAUUUCACCAUCUGCCUCGCCUUCAGAUGAGGUCAGAUACAGAACUCUUGGAGGUGAGUGGACUUCUUUCUUUCCAUUUAUGCAACAACUGCCUUUGAGCAAUACAAUAUUCUCCUACCUGGGUGUGGUGGCCCAUACCUGUCAUCCCAGCCCUGGGGAGCUGAGGCUAAAGUCACCGAAUUCAAGCCCAACCUUGCCAAUUUAGUGAUUUAGGGAGAGUCUGUCUCAAAAUUUUAAAAAGGCUUGUUGGAGAUAAUAUAGCUCCAUGUGGACACAUCAGGUUCAGUCCCCACUCCUUUAAAACAAAAAAUCUAAUUGAACUUCUUACAUUCCUUAAUUCAGUUAAUUAAUUGUGACUUGGAACUUGAACAAAAAUUAGGUGUUCCGGUGGCAGCUGUUAGGGAAAGCUGUUCCAGUAUCAAAUACUUGCAAGCAGUUUUUAUGGUAGGAUGUGCAUGCAUACAUGUGGGUAUGUGGAGAUUUUCCCCGAGGUUGCUAAAAUCAAGCACCAGGAGAUUUAGGACCCUCUUGGAGUUCUGUUGGUGCAACAAUUACUGCUUACUAACUCCUUUAGUAAAUAUCAAUAAUUUAUACAGGCUAAAGGCUGACAUAUGUGUCAAAGUAAUUUCUGAGUGAAAAUUUGGGUAUGAAAUUCACUGAUGUUUACACCUAAGUUCCUCCUGGCAUAAGCACCUGCUUGGCAAGCAUGAGGUUGUGAGUUCAAUCCCCAGUACUGAACAAAACAAACAACAACAACAACAAAAAAUACCACAGGGGCUGGGGAUUUAGCUCAGUGGUUUAAGCGCCUGCCUUGCAAGCAGGCAGUCAUGAGUUCGAUCCCCGGUACCGAUAAAAAGGAAAAAGACAAAAAAAAACACAGUAUUUCCUUCUGUCAAGCAGUAGCUUUGAAGAUCAGUGAAACAGAUGUGUCCCCGAACACCUUGGAUGAAGGGUUCUGGGUAAGAACUAUGUGUAGUUCUUACUGGUUAGCACCAGAGGCUCCAGAUACAAAGAUCAUUGAUUUGUAUAAGUCUAGAGAAAAUUAGUCAAAGUGGGUGGACAGGGGCUCAGGAUUUAGCUCAGUGGCACAAGCACCUGCCUCGCAAGCGCACAGUCAUGAAUUUGAUCCCCGGUACUAAAAAAAAAAGUGGGUGGAGGAUUAGACCAACAUUAUCAGACUCUGUUCUGUUUCUGGCUCACAUGAAGUCUUCAAGUGGACUAUUUAAAUGCCUCACUCUACAGGCUAAGUUUAAAUUAAGAAUAAAAAGCUUUUAUCAAUUAAAGAUGUUUUUCAGUACUAAGUAUUCAUGUUGCUAUGGCAUAUUUGUUAAAAAAAAAACCAUAUGUGAUCAUGUCUGCUACACAAAAAUGCAUGUGAUGAGAUAGUAAUUCUUUAGGCUAUAUUCAAAGUUAAAAAUAGAGGAUUUACGUGUCAUGUAUUACAUACAAAUUUUGGAGUAUUAAAUCCCCAGAAUAUUAGUUUUGAUCUCUGUGUUUAUAUGUUGUGAUGAGAAGUGACAUCCAUGCAAAUGUGAUAAAUGGCUCAUAGCUCAAGAGAUUUCUCACUUCUGCCAUGACAGCAAUUCUAAACUCAGAUGGACUUGGACACCGUACUAGAUUACUGACCAUAAAUAUAAAACUAUUGCCAGCAAGCAAAGCCAACUGGACCAGUGCCCUUGAAAGUUCCCACAUUGUGUACUUUAGACCAAAGUGACUGAAGUUAUCUAGGCAUGGUAGUAAUGCUUGUAAUCCCAGCAGUCAGGAAGCUGAAGCAGGAGAAUCACCCUGAGUGAGGCCUGCCUGGGAUAUAUGGCCAGAUCCUAUCUCAAUCAGUCAAUCAAUUGAUUAGAAUUACAGACACACUGUCCCUAACUGAAAUACUAAACUGCAUGAUUCCUGGAAAUCCUCACGGUUCAAUUAAAGGAUGACCUGAGUUCUCAUUUUAAUUCCUCAUUUGUCAUUACCUCUCUGAAAGAAUAGGAAGUGAAGGCAGUCAGCGGAGCACCUAGAUAGCGUGUUUGUUUGUUUGUUUGUUUGUGUGGCAAUGUGAGGUCCUAAUCCAGGCCUCCCAUAUGCUCAGCAGGCCCUCUACCACUGAGCUGCACCCAGCCAUGUGCAUGUGUUCCUCCAACAGCCACUCCCAAGUGUACCCAGUGUCACUUAGACACUGUCCUCCCACAGAAGUGUGUGGGCCAGUGCUUCUCAGCCUCCACACAUCUACCACGCCCAGUGGCCAUCAAGGUGCCUGGGUCACUCUCACCAGAAGGUUCAGAUUUCUUCGAGUCUUAUCUUCUGAGCUUGUUGGUUUGGUUUGGUUGGUUUCUUUUUUUUUUUUUUUUUUUUAAUCGGUACCUGGGAUCAAACUCACAACCGCCUGCUUGCAAGGCAGGUGCUUAUGCUGCUGAGCUAAAUACCCAGCCCAGUUUCAUUUGAUUUUGGUGCUGGGGUAGAGCACACAGCCUUGCACAUAUUAAGCAUGUGCUCUACUGCUAAGACACGCCUGUAACUCUUGCACUUUGUUUUAUAACAAAAUGAUACAGAUCUCUUUUGAUUCUAAAAUAAUGUUCUUAUAUUUUCAAAAAUUUUCUCCAAGUCGUCGUACUGAAAUGCUAACAUAGAAAGUAGGUCAUGUCUAGCUGGAAUGGUCAGGGUAAGUUAGACUUAAUCAAAAUUUAAAACUGGUAUAUUAAAGCUGGAAGAUUAUGAGUGCAGGGCCAGCAUGAGCCACGUAGCACAAAACAAAACAAAAAAAAAUAGUCACAGAAAAGAAACCGUGUGAGGCCACACUUGGGGGACAUGCUAUUAUCCCAGCAUUCUGGAAGGCCUAGGCAGGAGGGUUGCAAGUUUAAGCCCAUCCUGGACAACUUAGCAGUUUAGCAACACCCUGUCUCAAAACUUCAAAUAAAUAAUUUUUUUUAAAAAAGUACUCUGUUUUCUGGCUUGAGAGCUUGCUUACUCUGAGCACUGCAGUUGGUAGCCCACUAGAGUAUUUUGAGCAAGGGGUAGUAUAUUCAAAGCACUGCUAAAGAAAGUUCUAUUUGUGCAGUGGAAAGGAGAGCUACUGGAAGGAGAGGUGGAAGGUCCUAGAGGAGAUUCAUGUGUUUAAUACCCGUGAUUCAGGGUGUAUUUUUUUUGGGGGGGGGAGGUAGUUUUUGGCGGGUUUUUUGGUUAAAUUUCGCUUUGCUUUUUGAGACAGGGUCCCCCUAUAUAGUGUGGGCUGGCCUUAAACUCACUUGUAUAAGUCCAGACUGGCCUCAGAUUCACAGUGAUCCUCCUGUCUCAGCCUCCUGAGUGCUGGGAUUACAGGUAUGUACCCCCACACUCAGCAAGUUUGGAUUUUUAUGGAUGGCUCUGGUUACAUGCGUAUGCGCGCACCUGUGUGGAAUCCUUAGGUACUGAUAUAAAUCCUGGAAACUGAAGCAGUGGCAGGGCUGGAGCUGGGAUCUGGGUUGGGCCCCAGCUGUGCUACUCCCCAGCUUUUGUGACCGGCAGGAGGGUGUCCUUCAUGCUUCCCCCUCCCCUUUAUUGGUGGCCCCAGCUGGCUGUGGAGAGAAGGUUGCUCACUCUUAGUCUAAGUGGAUCCACACCAAGGUCGCCCCAGGGCAGCCCUGGCAGCCCUGCCAUCCCGCCUUGGGACCCAUCCAUGCUUGUCCCGCUCUUCCGUGUCCAGACCUAAUGACCACACACAGACAGGGCCUGGACAUUGCUUCCCCCAGGACGGUCUCAGCACACGAAGCGGUAAGCUUUCAGCCAGGGAGAGAACUGGGAAAGGCACUGCAGCCCCGACUGUCUUUGAGUCCAAAGAUGGGUUUGUUGGGUUCGCUCCUCUUUCUCUGCAUCCCUUCAAAAGAAAAGAGAGGGAGUUUGAAUUCUAUUAAAAUACUUCUCAGCUACUAUUCAUGAACUGCAUUCUCUUAUAUACCCACAUACCUGGGUAGCAGUUUUUCCUUAAGAAAAAAACUAGUAAAAACGGGCAAAGCACAAAUGUUAAAUAUUAGAUAUUAUUCAGUCCUGUGUGUUAUCUUCAGAACUUGAAGCUGGACUACAUACAAAUCAUUUUCCCUUCAGAGCACUUGCCUACCAAAGCUGUGAGUUCAGUCUGUAGCACCCUCAUCCCAAAUUUAAAACAAUGCUUUCCAGGCAAUGCACUAUAAUUUCCCUUCCUUCUUUCCCAUAGCAUUUAUUGAUUGAAGUGCUUUGGGAAUGAGGUGUUUUGUUUGACUUAAUUUUUUUUUAAUUCAGUUAAGUACAUUUUGUUUCAGGUCUCAAUGAGUUGAAUGGAGUCUAUGAAUUAGUUUUCAAUUUUUCACGUCUCAUAUGUAGUAGAUUGCUUUAUUGGGGGGUAAUGUGGAUUAACACUAAGUGCUAAACUAUAUCCUCAGCUUUUUUUAAAUUGGUGAGUGGGCACGAUUUGGACACAGGUCCCUCCUAGGUAGUCUAGGCUGGCCUCAAACUGUGAUCCUCCUACCUCAGCCUCCCAUUAGUUGGGAUUAUAGGUAUGUACCAGCAAGCCUGGCUACAGUGGACUCUUUCAAAUGUCGUUCCUAGCCAGGUGUGGUGGUGAACAACAGAGUGCCAGCACCUGCAGGCUGAGGUAGCAAGAUUGUAGCUUCCAUUGGAGACUGGGUGACUUAAGAGAGCCUGUCUCAAAAUAAAAAAUAGAAAUCCCAGUAGUGGCCAAAAAAUAAAAAAGUAAGAAACACACACAAAAAAAAAAUAGAGCUUUAGCUUAAAAGAUGCAGCAUACCUCGGCUCUCACUCAGCAACUACAUCCCCACACCCCUCUUCCCUGCCCACCCUAAUUCCAGCUCAUUCGAUGCUCACACAGUUUCUUGAUGAACUUAUUUGUCAGCCACUGCACAUAAAGAGGCUCCUGAGGAGGAAGAGGAGCCCUUGCCACAGGAGUGUGCCUUAUGCACGUGAGCACAGCAAGCCCAAGGAACAGCAUCUGAGUCGACUCAUCUCAGCUCUUUUUCUCACAGUGGCUUCCAAGUCCUGCCCCUGGCGUCCUCAUCCCCACUGGCUUUCCCUGGGUGUCACAGUCUUGGCACAGCUUUCUUGACCUUGGCCCUUCCUGAGCUUCAUACAGCCAUGUGCCUGGGAUCCUCACCCCGACUGUAGCCACAUUAGCUCCUGCCGGCUCCCUGCCAGGCCCCUCUGGAUCUGGUGUGGGAAAUGUGUCUAUUACCUGAAGACUUUGGUGAAACCCUAGAAAUAGCAGCAGAAUUUUCAGGUGUACACCUAGUUUGGUGCUGGUGGUAGUUGAUUAUUUUUCAAAAUAGUCCACAGUCUGUGGGACCUGAAGCUUAUACAUUCUUGCAGACCUUUAAGAAAAAGAGGACUGGGGGCUGGGGAUUUAGCUCAGCGGCAUAAGCGCCUGCCUUGCAAGCAGGCAGUCAUGAGUUCGAUCCCUGGUACCGAUAAAAAACGAAAAAGACAAAAAAAAAAAAGAAAAGAAAAAGAGGACUAGGUCCAAUCCUAGCACUGGGAGAAGUAAUACAAAAAUACCUUCUUCCAGUUUUACAAGAGCUCUGACCCUAUGGAUCCACAGGUAACCAGCUGGCACCUCCACUCACAAGGCUUUAGAUGGGAGGUGACCCCGAGGCUUUGUAACUGCCAGGCUGUAUGUGUCCCGCAAGUGCUAGGGAAGGAAGCUCCCACACCCACCUGUGGAAGCCAGCUUGAUGGGGCCACGUGCCCAGCCUCCCACAACCAGAGUACUCGGUUUUUCACCUGAGAGUUUGUAUCUUAAAAGAAGAGUAGAUUGUAAGAAGUUUAGAUGUGUUUAAAUGUCCUAAAGGAAGUGUUGUGGCCCCACUUAUCAUGAGAUACUUUCCAAGGGACACCUGAAACCAUAGCUGAUACCCAGCAUGUGGACACAUAUACCUAUGAUAACAUUAAUGAAAGUUAAGCUGUGGUCACUCUCCCAAACUAUCUCACUGUGCUAUAUCCUUCUUACUUAAAGGAAGCUCUUUGCAGCCUGUAUUUCAAAUGUCUGAACUAGAAGCAUGACUCCUUUUACACUUCGGGAUCUUCUCCCACCCCUGCCCCCAGUACCUCCGCACUGAACCUUUACACUGAACCACAUCCCUAGUCCUUUUUCACUUUGUACUUUGAAACAUGGUCUUGCCAAGUUACUAGUUUGCCCAGACUGAGUUUAAACUUGUUAUCCUCUAACUCAGCCUCACAAUAUUGGAGUUGCUGGUGUGUGCCACCAUGCCCAACUCGGGUUCAUUAGUAAGUAAAAUUAAGGGCACUUGAGUGCAAGAACUGAUACUGACUGCUACAUUUCACUGCUGCUGUCCAUCUGAUAGUGGAGAGGUUAUCUCAGUGACUAAUGGGUGAUAGGAUACACAGCUAAGAUACUCUAGAUAAAGGGAUGAUUUACAUCCUGGGUUGCACCAUGCAUGACAGUGCAAACUUUCAUCACAUUACUCAGGAUAGUGUACAGUUUAAAACAUAUGAAUUGUUUAUUUCUGGAAUUUGCCAUUCCAUACUCGUGUGUGGCUCCUGACCACAGGUAUCUGAAACCUUGGGUUACAAACUUCAAAUAGGGGAAUUUCUGUGUAUGUGUGAUGUUUUUGCAAAGAUUUUCUAUUUUAAUCAACACAACAACCCUUUGAGAUGAUUUCCCCUGCUCCUCAGAUAAAGCCACAGAAGUCCAAAGAAUGGAAGUAAUUUGCUUAGGCUACAGAGCUGAAUUCCUAAACUGGAUCAGCUGGAGUCCAGAGCCCAGAUAAUCUGGCCAGAAGUUUUAACCACAUGGUUCACUUGUUUAGAGACUUAAAAUGUGGUGAAAUGCCCCAAAUACAGGCAGUUAGGUUCAUUUUAUCUUUGCUAGUAAAGACAGAUAGGUGUCUUAAAGCAUCUCAAAGUCAGUUUGAACCUGUUGUCCCUGUUCUUCUAAAGUAAAUGAGUCUAUAGCUUGUGUUAACUUAACAUUCUUUCAGUGUGUAAAUUGGUAGAGAAUAUUUUUUAGGGGAAAAAAAACUAAAGGAACUGUGACCAUUCCAACAAACUAAUCCACAUGUUCAAGCAGAAGGCUGAUGGGUGUGAUGUGCUUUCUGCCUUGUGAUCAAUCUGAAAAUCGUCCCCAUGCAGCUGCUGAUGGGGGCUCCUUGUCCUGGUCUAAGAAGCUAGAGACCUGUGAGCCUAAUUCCUGUGCACCUGACAGGUAUAUAACAUCAGAAGGAAGAAGCCUGACUCAGAGCACUUGGCAUAAGUGGAGACACUGGAGAAACACCUUUGGUAUAGCUUGGGAGCAGAGCAGGGUUGUUUGGUUGGUGGAGUGACUAAAAUCUAUUUGUGAACAUUUAUAAUGCUCUCCUUUUUUUAUAAAUAACAACCAUUUACUAGUUCAUCCCUAGAAUGUUUCCUGUAACCCAGGUGUGGUGGUGCACACCUAUAAUGUGGGAGGCUGAGGCUGGAGGACCAAAAGUUGAAGUCCAGCCUGGGGGCAAUUAGUUUAGCAAAACCAUGUCUCAAAAUUAAUAAUAAUAGGAGUAGUAAAAAUGACUGGAAAUGUAACUUAGUGUGAAGGCCCUGGGAUCAAUCCCAUUACUACCAGAGAAGAGUUAAGAUUGAGAAACAUAAAUGAGUAAAAUGUUCCCUCUAAAAGAAGACAGGAAACUAGAAAUGAGCAAAGAUAAUGAGGAUGAAAAUCAACACAUGUUCUAUUCUUGUCAGUGCACCAAAGUGAGUGUCACUCUGUAUUUGUAGUUGGCACCAGUUUUUUAAAUGUUCCCUCUAGGUGGUGUAGAGCACUCACAUACCAUGGUCAGUACCUGGUUCUGAUUUUUUUUUUUUUUUUUUUUUUUUAAGACAGGGUCUUACUAUACAGUUCAGACUGGCCUUGAACUCAGCAAUUCUCUUGCCUCAGCCUCCAGAAUGCUAGGAUUAUAGGCAUGUACCACCAUGCCUGGCAUGGUUCUAAUUUUGAGCACCACAAAAAAAUAAAUAAAUAAAAUGUCCCUUCUAUUCUUAUUCAUCCCUGGGACAUCUCUGACUAUGUGUCCUAGUUUCUCUGAAUCCCACGUCACAAUUGUCAAAAUGCUAGAGAUAUCCAGCUGGACAUAGAUUUCAGAAACAAGCUGCUUAUUCCUGCCACACAGUACUGGGAAGUAGGGAGAUUCUCCAAAAAGUAAAUUACAAAGCACAGAAGAGAGCUGUGCUUUAAAGCUGAAUUUAGCUUUAAAGUGACGUGUUCGGGUUUGUUUUGUUGGUGGAGAAAGGUGUCUUACCUCAAGUUCCUAAGCUCAAGCUGUCCUGCCGCAGCCUCCCAGUCAAGUAGCUGAGACUACAGGCAUACCCCCACUAUACUCAACUUAAAAGGGAAUUUUUAAAUGUUUUCAGAUAGGAAAGUAAGCAAACAUUAAACAGGUAUGCAUGUGUCUGUGAACAAGUGUGAUAACAUAGAUGAUUAUCUGUGAAACCAGUCAAAGGGCUAGUUAUUAGAGUUUCCACUCCCAGGUCACCAGGCAUCAGGCAUGGGGCAAGAGUUCUAGAAUGGAGAUGAGGGUGCCCUGUUAGCUCUGGGUGUGUCAGUUAUCGCCUCUGGCCCUGAGUUCCUUAUCUUGUAACGAGGUCUUUGGAGUCUGCGAUUUCUUCAGUUCUAAGAAUCAGUGUAUUCAACUGGAGCAUAUGACUCAGCCGGCGGCAAACGAAUGUCAGGCUUCAGAAACAGAGUUGGUACCCUGUCCUUAGUAGCAGUGCAGUUUGAACAGAAAGGGCAUUCUGAACAGGCUCCAAAGGUGAAAUGACCUGCACUCCACAGCUAGAGCUCACAGUGGGUGCAAGCCUGGGAUUUAGCUCAGUGGCUCAGACACUUGCCUGGUAAGUGCAAGGUGGUUUGAUCCCCAGUACCAAAAAAAAAGUUGAAGUGCUUGGUUGCGAGUGUCUGAUUGGUUGCCUGUCAAAGAGGUCUACAAGCAGUAGACCUCUGCCAGUUUUCUGCCAGUUCCCUAGUGUCGAUGUCCGCUCCCGGCCGGCAGGAAGGACACACGACAAAGUCUGGCAGUGGACAACCUUUUCUUUUAUUUUUCUUCUCCGUACAGCCUGCCCUGGGAUCGCUCCCAGCCGAAGCCUCCUUUGGUCCGCUCCCCGCGGCUCCUUCUGGGCUUCUACUUCCGGGCUUCUUCUUCCCCCCCAGGGGUGGCACCAGUAUAUAUACGGAUACAGUGUCCAAUCAUGUUAAAGUAAGCAAGGCAAGCUGAUUGGCUAACAUCAUCAGUUGCCAGGCAGACUAUAUUGUUGAGCGGGUUGCUUACGCGGUAAGCAGGAAACUGACGUGCUCGAUGGGAGGGGUAAUCUACCUCAGGCUUUACUCUUUACUACAGGCCUCACGUCCGCCAAGUAAGGCGACCGGGCUCGGGGCUGCGGCUCCCAACACCCUAGCACAGGAAUUUCUAAUUUGAUGGAAGAACAGGGAAAAAUAAAGUGAAACAAAUCCUCAAGGUAGCAAUAAUAACGUUAAAAUAGCCAUAAGAAAAUAUUUGACAGACUACACACCAGCCAUGUUUGAAAGCAGUCUUUUAUACAAUUUUGGUUUAUUUAAUGAUAUGCUGGGGAACAAACCGAGGACCUUGCAUUGCUAGGCAAGUGCUCUACCACUGUGCUGGAUCCCCAGCCUGUCAGUCUCGUUUCUUGGUCUAUGAUUCAAAGAGCAGGCAGCUGAGUUGGGCCUGGUUGUACACACCUGCAGUCCCCACAGUUUGAGAAGCCAAAGCAAGAGGGUCAUAAAUUCAAGCCCAUCCCGGGCAACUUAGUGACUUGGCAAGACCUUAUCUAAAAAUAAAGAAGGAACUGGGAACAUCACUCAGUGAGAAGGCGCAGGUUCAGUCUCCAAAACAAAACAAAAAAGUAGGUAGCUAUACUUAGGUAGACUCUGCCUGUUACUCUUCCGUAUCGUCCAAAGUAAGUCAGUCCACUACGUGUGGUAAUGUGCAUGGCCUAGAAAAGUUUUGUUUUUUGAGAUGAGCUUCAGUCAAUUCUUUUGUUUUAGUUGGAGUCCCUGGUGGUGGGAUCUUUUCCUCUAGUCCACAUUUGUUACGCUACUCUCCUUCCAAGCCAUGGCCACCUAACCCACAGCCUGGGGAUGACAUGAUGGUCCUUUCUAUUAAUGUCUAUAUCUGCCUUUGGCUCAAGUCUCAGAGAAGAGCCCUUUCUCAAAUACUCAGGUACUCCGUCUGUGCUCCACAGAACACACACGGAUGGAGCACCUCUCUGAGAAGCGUGUCAUGGCCACUAGUCACAACCAAGCUGCCAGAGGCAUGGCCCUCAGACAGCCCACCUUAACCACUCUGUCAGUCACCCACUGCCUAGGUGCUGCCAUCUCUCAUCCCCAUGUCCACCAUGCACUGCUAGGCCAUUUCCCAGUGCCUUUAUUGAGACAUUCAGUGACAUUUUGCCCUACCUGCCCCAGCCUCCUUAGCAUUUAAUGUUAUUAAACAUUUUCCCGCCUGAAACCAUCCUUUCUCACAAACAUCCUGAUUUUCCUCAUUUUUCUGUUUGUCUCCAUCUCUUUGCUUCUGCUUUCUUAACUCUAAGACCGAGCCCUUGGUCUGCCCUUCCUGUACAGCUCGUCUCCUGAGAGCUGAUUUUUCCUGCACGUCAGCUGUCACCACCACCGUACCAGCCAAUCUUUGAGUCCUAUUGUGGCACCACGAAGUCAUGAGACACAGAGCCUCAAGAUAAGAGGCCUCACCUUGCUACAGGAGUGUGUCCCUGCUGCAGGCUCCUGAAGGCUGGGGCCCGGGCAGGUUUGAGGAAACUACCUCCAGAUUUUCCGGCUUCCAGCUGUGCUUUUUUCCUAACCUUGCUGUGCUGGGCAUUGUGUCUGCUCAGAGGGUCUCCUUUCCCAGUUCCCUUAUAAUCACCCUUUCAACACACAGGGAGACCCCAAGGUAUAGAAAUUUCACAAGACACCACAAAAUUAAGCAAGAGGAACAGCACCUUUGGCUUUAUCUGGCCAUCUUAGAGGUACAGUUCAAGCAGGUGAAGAAGGUGGUAAUGGAGGUGCCCAGCACUCUGGGCGGCUGAGGCAAGAUCACAGGUUUAAGCCCAGUCUGGGCCUACUUUAGUGCUAGUGAGUAAGGAAGACCACAUCUGAAAAUAAAAAUAAAAGGGUUGGGACUAUAGCUCAGUACAAAGGUUUAGGGAGAGAAUUCAGGCCUGGAAAUGUAGCUCAGCGGUGGAAGGCUUGCUACCACAAACAAGAGCCCUGGGUUCCGCCCCCACACCACAAAGAAAAAAAUUCAAGAAGGAAGUGGUUGUCAGGAGGGUGAAUUAUUGACAUUUUUAUUGCAAUUGAAUUAAAAAAUGAAAGAGUCCCAGGCAUGCUAUCUCAGCACUUUGGAGGCUGAGGCAGGAGGAUCACUGCAUAUUUGAGGCCAACCUGGGCUACAUAGUGAGACCCUCUCAACAAUCUUUCCCACCACCACCAAAAAAAAAAAGAAAAACUGGACUUUUUUUUUGGGGGGGGGGGAAUCAAACUUGCACUUGCCAGGAAGGCAGUGUGCCACUGAGCUAUAUUCCCAUCCCAAACUGGACAUUGCUUUUCCCUUCAGCACAGAAGAUCAAACAGCGCCUCAAAUGCACUAGGCAAGCGGUGCCACAUCCCAGCUCCAUAGUUAAAUAUGCCAUUUGGAUCUGACCAAGAACAAAAUUACAACAAACCUGAUGGGCUUGGGCUGCUGAGAACCGUACACAAGCUUGGUGCUUGUUAGCAGACGCAUUACCCCAAGACGAGUUCCCGCCACCGGUCGGCUUAAUUUCUGACUCCAGAAUCAGUAGCACCACAUUACACAGCAAGAGGAACACCAGUGAGCAGGCACAGGAGGGUGAGGGCAGUGGACAGGGACAGGGAGACAGUGGAAGAGCAGCAGUUGCUUGCCGUCAGGUCAUUCACGUUACUUUUCACAUAAGGAUUCAAAUGAUCUGAUUCCAGCUGGCCUGUAGGGAAGUUUGACUUGUGGAAGGGUUGGGUACACAGCUCCACUUCAGCCAGUGGCAUGGAACUUUAACUUGGUCUGUUGAGGCCCAGCGGGAACUGACCCCAAAAUAAUUGAUGUCUUAUAAUUCUUAUUUAAGACUAUGUGACAGAUAUUCACCAUAUACACUGUAGCCCAGGCUGGCCUUGAAUUUGUAGCAAUCCUCCUGCCUCAGCUUCCCAAGUGCUGGGAUUACAGGCAGCACCACCAUGCCCGGCUCACCAUAGAUACGUUAAAUUAUAUCUUCAAUGAAUGUUAAAACAUACAUCAUUUACUAUAGUUUAAAUUUUCAAUGGGGGGGGGUGGUUGUGUGUUUCUGAGACAGUGUCAUGCUAUGUAGUUAAGGCUGGCCACAAACUCACUGUGUAGCUCAGUCUGCCCUUAAACUUAGUAAUACUCCUGCCUCAAGCUUCCGAGUAACUUUAUAAAUUUUAGAUGCCAAUUUUAAAAUGUGAGAAAAGCCAGGUAUGGUGGUACACUCCUGUAAUCUGAGCACUCAGGAGGCUGAGAUGGGGAUUACCACGAGUUUGAGGCCAACCUGGACUACAUAGCAAAACCCUGACUCAAAUAACCAAAAAAUAAAUAAAAUGUGAGAGAAAGGGUUGGGAUUAUAGUUCAGGAACCCUGAGUGAUCCCAAGCACCAAAACAAAAAUAGUGAAAGAAGGAUACAUACUGCCUCAGAAUUCUUUUAGAGGCUGUACUGGCAAAAAGGUUAUAACACUGUUAAAUUAAGCUAACUAACCAUCUUUCCUUCCCCCAACUUCCUUUCAGUCCUGUUGAUUCUUUUUUUGUUCUCAUAUCAGUUUUCAUUUCAUUUUCUAAACUUUUUUAAUAUUUUGUUUCUUUUUGUUUGAUUUGGUUUUGUUUAGACAAGGUCUCACUAUGUAAUCCUGGCUGGCCUCAAACUUGCAGCAAUCCUCCUGCCUCAGCCUCCCAAGUGCUAGGAUGACAGGCAUUGUUCUGUUUUGGUUUUUGUUUUGUUUUGUUUUGUUUUGUUUUUUGAGACAGGGUCUCCCUGUGUUGUGGAGAUCCUCUUACUUCAGCCUACCAAGUGCUAGAAUUAGAGACACAUGCCACCACACCCAGUUUUGUUUUAUUUUUUGCAGUGUUUAGAAUCAAACCCAGAUCUUCACACAUCUGGGCAAACACUGUGUCACUGACACAGCCCUUGUCCAUUUUGUUACAUUCUUUUUCCCUUUUUAAAUUAGCCAAGUAUUCGUGAAAUGAAUUUGCCAUAUCUCUUUUCCCAUGGACCUCCAUGCGGUAGGUAGCCAUCCUGACCACUCAGAUGGAGACUGAGUUCUUGCCUGUCUAGACCUCUAACAUGACUCUUCUAUAGAGGGAAAAUAUCUUUCGUCUCUAUGUAAAGAGCAGGCUCCUUAGGAGUAAAAAACAGCCCUGCUGUCCUAAAUGCCUAAUGUGAUGCUCACCACACAGGAGGUGCCCAAUGAAUAUUUGAUCAUCUCUAGUACAUACCAUUCAUCCUCUCCCAUUCUUUCACCCAUUUACCCAGGAACUGUUCCAGGCACUGGGGUGUGGUUGGGAACAAAAAGACCAUAGUGCCUGCUUUCAAAGACAAUAGGUUAAAUAACUGGGUGUGGUGGCACCAGCACAGUAGGAGGCCAAGGCAGGAAACUGCCACAUUUAACCCUGACCUGAGCAACUUUGAGACUCUGUCUCAAAAACUAAAGGUCUGGAGAUGCCCAUCUGCAGGAAGGACCCAACUUCCAUCCUCAGGACUGCAUGAAUAAAUAGUGCGCCAAAAGUGAUACUGUGUUAGGUGCUCAGAAGUAGAAUAAAGGGGAGAUGAAGGUGAAGUGUGUUGAGGAAGGUGCUAGAUAGGUGAGUCGGGGAGGACUUAAGUGUUGAGGGUGCAUUUUACCAAAGAUCGACAGUGCUCCAGGCAGUUAGCAUGAAGGUCUGUGACCAGUCCUUCAGAGUUCCCAGAAGGAAGGAUGGGGAGUGCAGACUGAGCUGAGUCAGAAGAAUGGACUCCUUGGACCUCAGCUUUUGCUCUGGGUGAGGUCAGGGCUAGCAGCUUAUGCUGUAGGAGUCCCCCCAGCUGCCACAGGAGAGGCAGUCUAGUAGUGCCCUGGAGCAGAGGAGGCAGGGAGGUAGAGGUCAUCUGGAUCUAGAGGAUGUGCUGACAGCUGGAUGGGGAGUUGAGGGUGGGAAGCCAGGAGCAGUGCAGGGGUUGGUCCAGGUCCUCACUCUGCAGGCUGGCGAGGUAAAGACCAGGGAGGCACGUGGAGUUCAGUUCAGAACCUGUUGGGUUGGAAAUGUCUGCUGGGUGUGCGCCUAUGCAAGAUGCCAAGCAGGCUAGAGUAUGGAUCAAGGGAGAGGUUAGGGUGGCAGUGUGGGUGGCACUUGUUCCUGGAUGACUCCCAGCCACUGCACUGCCUGGGGACAGAUGGAACAGUCUUGCUUUCACUAGAUACUCACCGUGUCCAUGCCCAUCAAAGCCUAAGGUUCAUUUUACCGACAAGGCUGAGGAUCAAAAAGCUUGAUUAAUCAGCCAGCCUCAGGUGACAGCUAGUCAGCAGCAAGAGCAGGAUUCAGACUGAGAUGUCUUAGGUCCAAAGGGCAACUUCUUCUGACAAUCAGUGCCUUCAUUUUAGCUCAGAGAGAGGCCCCUGGCAAGCCCUAGUGGAUACUCUUGUUAUAGUCAGUGUGCUAGGAUCCUCCUUUAGAGAUAUAGAGGAAAUCUCUGUCAUUUGAUUGUCACACUAAAUAAAGAUUGGAUUCAGCCUUGUUUAACAUCCUCAGACAAGCCUGUAUCCCCCCCUCUGGCCUUGUGUGACUGUGUGUAUCUGUGUAAUUUAGUAAACAGGAUUUUAGGCUGAUUACUUUGUAUGUGUUAUCUCUUUUAGUCCUUAACUCACCAAGACAAGUAUUAUUAACCUCCCCAAGUUUACAUGAGGAAGCUGCUACUCAUGAUCAAACAGUUAUUAGGAUCAGUAACUUGGUCAGUCAACCAAAACUUGAAGUAACUUGGAUUAGUGGGCUGGGGAUAUUCAGAGACAAUGGGGGCUAUUGGGAAAAGAGAUUGUGAACAUGAGAAAACUUCAAUACAAAAUAAGAAUGUAAGACGUGAUGUGUAGUGGUAUGUAAUGAUUUGUCAGGUGUGAAUUUAGCCCUGCAUAUCAGGCAGUCUUCCAGCCUUUGCCUCUCAAGUUGCCACAUCACAGACACAUGCCACAAAGCCUAGCAAAGGGCGGGGCAGGGAGAGCGGUUUGAAGGGCUGCUUUUGUUUUGAGACAGGGUCCCACUAUGUACCCAGGCUGGCCUCAAAUUUGUGUUCCUCCUGCCUUCAGUUUCCUGAAUUCUGGAAUUAUAGAUGGUCAACACUAUGCCCAGCUUUGUUUCACAUUGAGCAUUUUGUUGUUGUUGAUUGGGUUUUGUUUUGUUUCGUUUUGUUUUGUUUGAGACAAGAUCUGCUAUGCCCACUACAGAGCCCAAACUGUCCUCAAACUCACAGUGAUCCUCCUGCCUCCAAAUGCUGGGAUUUGUAAGCAUGUGCCACCACGCCCAAUGGAUUUUGGGAUUGGGGAUUUAGCUCAGUGGCAUAAGUGCCUUCCUUGCAAGUGUGCGGUCUUGAGUUCGAUCCCUGGUACCGAUAAAAACGAAAAAGACAAAAAAAAAAAAGAAUAUCUGGGAUUUCACUUGAUGGAGUGCUUGGAGAAGAUAUUCCUUGUAAAGGGAUUAGUAGCAUAAACUAAGAUGUAAAUACAAAAAACAAAGAUGUGCUUGGGCAAGAACAGGCAGAUCCUUUUUACCUGAGACAGAGAAAUGGGGGUUUCACCUGGACUGUCAUUUAAGAGCCAGACUUUAGGCCUUAGGGUUAGGGACUGACUCAUGAAUAAUUAGCCAGGAGCACCCCUUCCCCCAAGAGGUAAAAGAGAUUUGCUCUGUGUAGGAUUGAUUGCCAGGAAUAUGUGGCUACAGGCAGCCGUCAGGUAAGAGGCCACAGCAGGAAAGUGAGGGCCAUAGCUGCAGGGGUGGCAUAGGACAAAGAAGGUGGCAACAGUGAUGAUAAGAAACCUUGAAAGGGAGGCAUCACUGACCAGACAGGGAACCAAGGAAAAACAAAAGUCAGAGACAGCUUGAGGUGUUAGAAUGCUAUACGAUCCUGAGACUAAUUCCCAAUAAACACCACUAAUAAACAAGCUACCAGAUGUGGUGGUGCACACUUGUAAUUCCAGCCCUCUGAGAGGCUGAGGGCAGGAGGAUCCAAGUUCAAGCCCAGCCUGGACAACUUAGCGAGACCCCAUUGUAAAAUAAAAAUAAAUAAAAAGGGCUAGCACAGUGCAGAAGACCCUGGAUUCAAUCACUAAAUAAACUCAAAGAAGGCAGAUUUAGGGAGAAAGUCACGCUUUAGUUAUAAAAUAUCUGAGAUGGUAUGAAAUGUCACGCUAAAAAUACCCAGCAAGGAAACAGGAAAUGUGGGACAGAAAUUUGAGACCCUAGGCCAGCUUGUCUUUGGCAUAAAGAUCAUAUUAAGUUACACAAGUGUCCAAUGGGUUUCCAGAAAGACUACCAGAACACCCAGCCUGACCCCUGGAGGUCAGCCGUGUUCAGGAGCCAGGGAUGGCCAGGUCCAGUCAGGCAGACCAGUGCCACUUAGGAAGCCCAGAUGUAACAGCCAGUGUAGUGUAUUUGGCAGUGUUAGCAUUAACAUCCAUGGCUUUGUAUUUUAUAAAAUGACUGGUCUAUGAUAGAAAAUCUAAUAACUUAUAUACAUCACUGACUCAGAAGGCUAGGGUAGAAGAUAAAAGAACCAGGAGACCCAGUCCUAGGCAUAUACCCUGGAGAAUGCACAGAAAAUCUCACACUGAAUGUUUAUGGCCUCUUCUUCAUGAUGCCCAAGAAAGUGGGAACAACCCAGGGUCAUCAGACAGAAAUGGACAGGUGGAGUAUGGAGCCCCCACACAGUGGAAUAUUAGCUGUGAAAAUAGCCAGUGUACUGAUACACACUGUGACGUGAAGGAGCCUUGAAGACAAGCUAAGUGAAAGAAGCUUGCGUGGUUGGCCUGGUGGUACACACCUGUAGUCCCUGCACUUGGGAAGUUGAGACAGAAGGAUUGCUGUGAGUUUGCGGCCAGCCUUAGGUACAUAGUGAGUUCAGGGUCAGCUUGGAUGAACUACACAGAGAAACCAAAACCCUGUUUCAAAAAAAGAAAAGCUCGCACAGCCACAGAGAUAGAAAGUAGACUACUGAUGGCCAAGGCCUGCGAGUGGAGAGAAUGCUUUGGGUGGAGGAAAGCAUUCUGGAAUUGGUAGAAUAUGCUGAAUAUGCUUUUGUAAAAACUACUGAACUUUACACUUUGAAGGCUGAGUUUUACAGUAAAUUGUAUCUCAAAGAUAAACAAACUAGAAGGAUGCCAGUCAUAGCACAUACCUAUAAUCCCAGCACUCCAGAGGCUGAGGCAGGAAGAUCUCCAUGAGUUCAAGGCCAGCCUGAACUACAGAGCAAGAUCCUGACUCAAAAACAAAAUUAAAAAAAAAAAAAAUCUGUGAGCUUAGUGGUGAUAUAAAGGAGUGCAAUUUUAGAUAUUACAUUCUAAUGAAAUAUGCCAGGAUUUGAAAGAUCUGUCUAACUCAGUGGAAGAGAUGACCAGUGUCUGGUGUUUCAACAUCAUGUAUGGGUUAAAGACCCAUUUGAAGCACAAAAGAAACCAGUAGAUUUAACAGAGCAUGAAAAGUUCCUUGAUGUGGUUUCAGAUUUCACAUUGCAACUAACGUUUGAGAAAUUACUAAUAGUUGAGUUGGCACAUUAUAGAGAAGAAUAUCCACAAUUAUCUAAGAUACUCUUCCAAAUAUAUCUGUGUGAUAUCAGGUCAUAGAUAUUUUUUUCUUUUUUUCUUUUUUCUUUUUUUUAGUACCAGGGAUAAAAUCACAAUCUCACACUUACCAGGCAAACACUUGAACUGCUGAGUGAAGUCCUUGGCCCCUGUAUUUUAAGUACUUACCAGUUCAAUUAUUUAAAUACAGUCUGACUAAAAAUUGCAUUUUUUGGUUAGUUUUAAUAAAAUAACAAUUUACAAAAAUGAGUUUAAUCAAAUUUAUUCAAUAUAAGAAUCAACUGGUUGAAAUGACUCAAGAAAAUCAGUACCUAAACAGUUGCACUGCCCACUGCUGCUCAGGGCAAACUGUUAAGUAGUAAAGCAAACCUGCCCAUUACAAUAGAUCAACACAGCUUGGUAGUGCAUCCCUGUAAUCCCAGCACUUGGAGGGCUGAGGUAGGAGGAUUGCUUCAAGUUUGAGUCCAGCCCAAUUUGCAAAACAACCCAUACUUCUCAUUCUUCAGUAGUUUUACUUCUUUGUUUUGGAAUAUAUAGUCACUGUCAUUUAAAAGAUGUCAUUUGUAUUAAUGCGUAAUACAUUUAUUAUUGGUGUUUUAAUGAGCUGAUGACUGCAUUUGUUUUAUUUUCUAAUACAGUAGGUAUAGAUACACAAAAUCCAAAGUGAGACAGUUGUUUGGGGUUCCCCAUAUUUUAUAGGAACAAAAAGCAGUCCAGAGACUGACAAGUGUAAAAGGCACUGCUGUCUGCACAGCACCACCCGGGCCUUGCUGUGGCAUCUGUUGCAGCAGCCUCCUCCUCUGCAGAACUGGUGUCCACAUCUCACCUAGUGCUGCCUCCUCCCUCACACUUGCCAGAACGUGGCUUGUGCUCCUCCACCAGACUCACAUGAGCCUCUGCCUGUCAAGUGGAGCUGUAUCCUUCCUCAGCCCAGAAAUGGCUGCACACAAUGAACGAGAACGAAAAAUUCACCAGACCUUAAUAAAAACUGCUCAUCGCUGCUUUUUUUACCUGUGAAACCUCUCAACUUUAGCAUUGAUAAGAAAUUUCACCCUGGGCCAGGGAGAAAUUGCUCAGAAUUUGCUCAGUGGCAAGUCCCUGCCUGGCAAGCACAGGGUCCUGAGUUUGAUUCCUGGUACCAAAAAAAAGCUCUAAAAGUAAGUUCACUGUUGUACAGGAAAUAAGGAGUUAAUAAAGUGUUACCACUAACAGUACAGGAUGUGACACAAGCUGGUCUGGACCAAACAGCAUGCAGGACCUUGUGAAGGGCUUACCUUGGGCACAAUGGCUGUGCCAGAGGAUGCCAUACAUGUGGCCCAGCAGCCAGUGCUGAUCCUGGUGUCCCCAGUAUCUGCUUUUAGCUCUUGGGAAACAGACGUUUCACAGGAGCAAACUUUAGCCACCGUCCUUGAAGUGUCUCCCCCUGAUAAGUGUGUGCAGGCCCUCCCCUGCCAUGCGGGCAGGAAGUGAGUGGCAGGUCUCCCAGCAAGCGCCUCUUUAUUUUUUUUUUUUUUUUUCUUUCCCUGUACCAAGGAUCAAACUCACGACCUUGCACUUACCAGGCAAGUGCUUAAGCCACUGAGCUAAAUCCCCAGCCUCCACACCAGCUUUUUAAAAGUCCCGUCAGCAUGACAAGAGGAAAGAUGGGUGUCCCCAGUCAGAGGCUGAGUGCUUUGAUCGAAGGCCCAAGUGACACCUGCAGCCUACAGUAGGUUCUCCGCAGGACAGGGCUUCUUGCCUCUGGCCACACCCAGAAGUAGUUGAGGGGCUUCCUGUGAGUACCAGUCCUUUCCCACCAGACCACAAAGUCAAACUCCGGAAGGCAGUUUGUGAGUGGGAGCUACUUCCACAGCUUCUUUUGUAACUCUUUAAAGGGACUGGUAUAGCCACUGCAUAGGGAUGGGCACCCACAAAAAGCCAGUAGGACCUGAGAACAGCUUUAGGACACCACCCUUCCAGAACACAGCAUUCCCUGAAGGGGCAUCCGUGUGGCCUGGCUCCAGAGCCUGCUGAGCUGGAUGGCAGCCAAGAGCAAGGCUGGGUGUGUGCACACUCACGGUCGCCCUGGGCCGUUGGCAGCUCCCCCAGUGUGGCUGCUCUUUCUCCUCUGCAACUCUCCACCUCCACAUUCUGCGCUUCAGGCCUGCUGUCUCCUGUUCCUGUCCUCCCAAGUUCUCUGUCUUAUUGUGGUUUGCAGUGUUUGAGUGUUCUUCAUCUGCAUGGACAACACUCUAGAAUACACACAAGACCAGGAGACAGCAAACAGGGCCCCUGUGAGGUAACCACAGCCAGUGCCUACAAGCUGUGCACUAAAUCUGUAGGUAAAGAAAGCGCCCAAGCCUGGGGCUCUGUCUCGUCUUUUUUUUUUUUUUUUUUACUCCUGUAAAAUGAAAGUCCUGGUUUCUAAACCCUGCAGUAAGUUAGAAAUAGGGAAAAGGAACUAUUUUUGGCAGGCUUACUGCAAGUCCAAGAAGUGACUAUUAAUCCCAGAAUAGCAAGGAAAUAGAGAAGCUAGUAAGAAAUGAACACAGGAACUCUGAAUUCAGGACCAUACUGGCCACGCAGAGUCUGUGCAGUGUCUUCAGAACUCACAAAGCCACUGUGACUCUGAUGCGGAUACCAGGGACCCAGAGUACCAGGACAGUACUAGAGUAUUUCAACUCAGGAGACAAGUUAAUAGGUUAUAUCUCUUCAUUUUCAAGUACUGCACCUGGUUAAAGGGUUUAGUGCCUACGAUAAACUGUUAGCUAUGUAGAACUGACUGAUGCAUGCUCUAGACAAUUAGGAUCUGCCCUAUUACGUCAUUUUUAUUCAUUCAUAAAAGAAAAAAUGUAAGGCAUCGGGCCUUAUUCUCUAUACUUCUGGUACAAGGUGCUUAGCAUUGCUUGCUACUCUCCCUGCCAAAUUUCUGCUUGUAUGAGAAACAGGAGACUUGCUCCUGCUUCUUUGAUUGAUCACCUGACUUGAAAGGUGAUCCCUGUCCCUUGAGUUACUAUUACCACAUCACGUCAUCUCAGCACUAGAAAAGAAAAUACCACCCUUGUAUUGGCUCUGCAAACAAUUCAUGCCAUUUAGGAAGUAUUUCCUAAAUAUUUGUCCAAUGAAUAAGCCAGUAAAAUAAACUUCAGUGUGUCAUAAAUGCAAAAAUAUGGAGAUAAUAGUCUAUCAUUUACUGUCAUAAAAUAUGUACUUACCUAUUUUUUAAAUUAGCAGGGCAUGGUGGCUCAAGCCUGUAAUUUCAGCACUGAGGAGGGAGCAUCACAAAUUGAAGUCCCACCUGGAGAAUUUAGCAAGGCCCUGUUUGAAAAUAUAAAGGGCUGAAGGUACAGCUCAGUGGUAGAGUGCUUAUCAAGCAUAUACAAGGCCGUGGGUUGAUCUCCAGCACUAUAAAAAAAAAAGUUUUAAUAUGCAAAAGAGCUAAAUGAGCCAGGCUUGGUGGUGCACACCUGUAAAUCCCAGCACUCAGGAGCUGAGGCACAAGGAUAAUUGCAAGUUUGAGACCAGCGUGGGCUACAAAGUGAGCUCAAGGCCAGCUUGAAUUGCAUAAGAAGAUCCUGUCUCAAAAAGACCCAAAAAAAGCUAAAUGAGCUGGGCCUUCCAGUGCAACUCCCCAUCAGGAGUGUGGUAAUCUCAGCACUCCAGGGAAGGUAGAGGCAGAAAUAUCACUGUGAGUUCAGUGCUAGUCUGGGCUACAUAGUAAGUUCAAGGCAGCCUGAACCAUACAGCCAGACCUUAUAUUUAAAAAAAAAAAAAAAACCUCUAAGAAAGGAGUUUAAAUGUUUUUACUAUAAAGAAAUGUUUAAGGGAUUUGUUUACCCUGAUUUAAACAUCAUCACACAAUGUAUACAUGUCUCACAACAUUAAAUGGUACCUCAUGAUUAUGUACAACCUUUAUGAGGGGUUUUGCGUGCACAUUUUGUGUUUACAAUACUAGGGACUGAACAGGCCUCAAGUAUGCUAGGCAAGCGCUCUUCCACUGAGCUACAUUCCCCAGCCAUUUUUAUCUAAGACAGUGUUUUGCUAAAUUGCCCUGGCUGACCUAAAAUUUAUGAACCUACUACCUCAGCCUCCCACUUAUCUGAGAUCGUAGACAUGGUUCACCAUACCUGGCGUAAUUUUAUGUUUUUACAUAUCAGUUUAAAAAACUAAAUUUUAAGCAUGUUAAAAUCACAAAAAACAUUUAAAUAAAAAAAUAACAAUCGUAUGUAGUGUGCUAUGUAAUAGUGAUUCUGUAGCUGCUAUUGUAGUUAGUUUAAGUUGCUAAUAUAGUUUUCCCACUGCUAUUGUGGUGAGCUCAAGUGUUGUAAGUGGCCACUUAAAAUACCAUGUGAAGCUCACUAAUCACUUCUCAGGAGACUUCAUCUCUCCAGUAAAUUUCAUAUUGUAGUAAAAAGUGACCUCAUUGGAGGCCAAACUGGGCUGUGUUGCCGGGGCAGGGAGACUCAGUGUUAAGAGUAUUUGCCUGGCACAGUUCAAUCCCUAACACCACAAAAAAACAAGACAAAAUUACCUCUCAAGGUUUCUGAAUACCUUUCACCAUAUAUAGUACAUAUAGCAUAGAAAAUAUGAGCUGUUUUUGUUUUCGUUUUUGUUUUAAACAAGAUCUCACUACAUGGUUCAGGGUGGCCUGGACUCACUAUAUAACCCAGACUGGCCUGGAACUCACAGUGGUCCUCAUGCCUCAGCACCCACAGAGCUGGGAUUACAGGCAUGCACCACCAUGCCCAGCUGAAUUAACUGACCAUUCAUAUUAUCAGUAAGGCUUCAGUCAAUAGCAGGCUACCCGUAACUGAGUUUUGGGGGGGUCAGAGGUUAUGUGCAGUGGAGGUGGCUCAGCAAUGGAGUUAAUGGUUCUGUUUCUCAUAUUGGAAAAACAAAGUUAUAUAUAUGAAUUUUUGGGGGAUAGGAUCUCACUAUGUACUGCAUGCUGGCCUUGAACUCGGCUACAGUAGUCCAGGAUGACCUCAAACUCACAGUGAUCCUCCUGCCCCUGCCUCCCAAGUGCUGGGAUUAUACAGGGGUAUGCCACCAUGCCAAGUUCACAUGCAGAAUUUUUGACUGUGGUCAAGGAUUGAUGCUUUUAACCCUCGUGUGGUUCAAGUGUCAGCUAUACUUUCAAGAGGCUAUAAAUUGCCCGGGAACUUGGCAAGUACAAGUUCCUAAGUUCAAUUCCCGGUACAAAAAAAAAAAGUUAAAAAUUUGAGAAAGAGCCUAACCCAUUAUGGGAGCAGCAAUCAAAGGACACAAGUAAAUCCUGGUACCAACCAGACCAAACGGAUGGUACAUGAUUAUUCAAAAUCCCAGGAGAUUCUUAAGUACACAGUCUGACCAUAAGUUUAAAAAAAAAAAGUAUGCAGAGAAAAAACUAGAAGCCAACAUAUAACAUGAUCAUUCAUUUAUAGCUAAUAAUUGAGCACUUUCUGCUUGACACUGUUCUUAGCUUUUCAAAGUUAACCAAACUCAAACUAUAUUGACAAUACCACCUAACUGCAAUUUAUAUUUAAAACCGUAAGUCCCAACAGCUGGGGUAGGAAGUAGAGCUCAGCAGGACCGCACUUGCCUAGCAUCAGCAAGGCCCCAGGUUCCAUCCCCAACAGGAGGGCGAAUCAACUCGAACAUUAACUUAUGCAGUGACAGUGAUGGGCAAGGUGUCCUUCCAAAAACAGUAGGGAGAUCCUGACUCCUCACACCAAAUGCAGAAUGUAAGGUGCCAGACAGCUGUGGAACUAAAGAGUCCCAGGGUGGAGAGAGCUUUUACUGUAGUAAGUAGGCCUUGGCCAUGUGAAACUGGUGCAUGGCCAGCAGGAGGUGCCCUGCAGCUGGCACACGGCUUUCUGACCUCACUUUGAAUCUCAGCUUUCAAAGACAUUUUUCCCAUCCCUGAAUGAGUGGUUUUAUAAUUUUGUUGCUGCAGAGAUGGGUAUACUGUAACUGCCAUGCACGUGCUGUGCCAUCCCAGUGUUAGGUCAUCUUUAGCUUCCUGACAAUCCAGUGACACUGUGCUAACAGGACACCUCAGAGUUAACACAGUGUUUCCCAGGCAUAAUCAAUUGUUUGUGACAGGGUCUCACUAUGGAGCCCAGGCUGCCUUCAAACUCGGGUAAUCCUCCUACCAUGGCUUCCUGAGUACUGGCUAAUUCUCAGUUGUUUGUAUCAUUUUUGUUUUGUUUUUUGUACUGGGGAUCGAACUCAUGACCUUGCACUUGCCAGGCAAGCCACUGAGCUAAAUCCCCAG